rnacentral:rRNA from 1 species
AACACUAACUGGAGGACCGAACCGACUAAUGUUGAAAAAUUAGCGGAUGACUUGUGGCUGGGGGUGAAAGGCCAAUCAAACCGGGAGAUAGCUGGUUCUCCCCGAAAGCUAUUUAGGUAGCGCCUCGUGAAUUCAUCUCCGGGGGUAGAGCACUGUUUCGGCAAGGGGGUCAUCCCGACUUACCAACCCGAUGCAAACUGCGAAUACCGGAGAAUGUUAUCACGGGAGACACACGGCGGGUGCUAACGUCCGUCGUGAAGAGGGAAACAACCCAGACCGCCAGCUAAGGUCCCAAAGUCAUGGUUAAGUGGGAAACGAUGUGGGAAGGCCCAGACAGCCAGGAUGUUGGCUUAGAAGCAGCCAUCAUUUAAAGAAAGCGUAAUAGCUCACUGGUCGAGUCGGCCUGCGCGGAAGAUGUAACGGGGCUAAACCAUGCAC